UAUGAAUCCUAGUUACGUAUGGCUUU
rnacentral:piRNA from 1 species